UACGUAGGGUGCAAGCGUUGUCCGGAAUUAUUGGGCGUAAAGAGCUCGUAGGCGGUUUGUCGCGUCGAAUGUGAAAUCCCGGGGCUCAACCCCGGGUCUGCAUUCGAUACGGGCAGACUAGAGUUCGGUAGGGGAGUCUGGAAUUCCUGGUGUAGCGGUGGAAAUGACGCAGAUAUCAGGAGGAACACCGGUGGCGAAGGCGGGUCUCUGGGCCGAUACUGACGCUGAGGAGCGAAAGCGUGGGGAGCGAACAGG
rnacentral:rRNA from 1 species